UGGGGAAUAUUGGACAAUGGGCGCAAGCCUGAUCCAGCCAUGCCGCGUGAGUGAUGAAGGCCCUAGGGUUGUAAAGCUCUUUCAGCGAGGAGGAUAAUGACGUUACUCGCAGAAGAAGCCCCGGCUAACUUCGUGCCAGCAGCCGCGGUAAUACGAAGGGGGCUAGCGUUGUUCGGAAUCACUGGGCGUAAAGCGCACGUAGGCGGACUUUUAAGUCAGGGGUGAAAUCCCGGGGCUCAACCUCGGAACUGCCUUUGAUACUGGAAGUCUUGAGGCCGAGAGAGGUGAGUGGAAUUCCGAGUGUAGAGGUGAAAUUCGUAGAUAUUCGGAAGAACACCAGUGGCGAAGGCGGCUCACUGGCUCGGUACUGACGCUGAGGUGCGAAAGCGUGGGGAGCAAACAGG
rnacentral:rRNA from 1 species